AAGGAAACCAUGUCGGGACCUCUUUCCAUUGCAGAAUGGGCUCCUGCUGUUACGAAUUUGGGACAAGCUGAACUUCCAAAUUUGGCUACUGCUGUUACAGAUUGGGU